CUGAGUCACAUGUGACUCUUAUAAGGGAUAACAGAACCAGACGCAUGCUGUGGAGGUGGAAGACGACGCUCGCUCCAAGUUUUCUCUCUAAAUCGAAUCGUAAGAGCCUCCAGCUCUUUUCUCUGCUUGCCUAAAUCCAAUCAUAAGCGCCCCCAAAUCCUCUCUCUGCUUGCCCAUCAAAUGCUCUCCCUGCUUGCCCACCAAAUCCUCUCCCUACUUCCCAUGAGCGUGAAGAAAGAGAGAGAGACGACGAGGCAUGAAGAAAAGCUCCUCCAAUGCGAUUCUUGUUUUGCGAGGUUUAACGCCUCGAUGACCGCCAUUGAUCCACGAUCGGAUCCGUUCAAGAGCUCACCGUUGAAAUUGCGUAGUAAUUAACACCAAGACCAGAGAUCUGAUGGGGCUAGGUACUCCCUGUCUGCUUGCUCAAGAUGCGAUAGGGUGCGAUGUGGACUGAUAGAGGCACUGGCAGCGGGCCUUCCAUAUCUUUAAGGUUUUACUCCUUACUCAUUCAAGCAUGUGGAUGUAUGUUUUUCUUUUGUAAAAUUUCAUUUUUUGUUUUUAAAUGGAAACAAAAUGAACAAAAAUAAGUUUCCAAAGGCAAAUAGCAUAGCAUGCUCACCGAAUCGAGGUCGUCACGAGAAAACUGAAGACAAAGCUGGCGACUCUGCCUAAGCGAGGUCCUCAACUCUUCUCUCUGCUUGCCCAAAACUGAUAUGCAGAGAGGUAAUCGUUGCGAAAUUGAUGAUGGGUCCAGCCUCCAUGAUGUAGUGGUCACCAAAUUGAGUGGAAUUUAGUUUGAUUUGUUGGAAUUGUGUGAACGACGACAUUUGAGUUGGUGGAGAAAGGAAGUGUAAAGAGGAUGCGUUGAAAAUUUGGAAACAUCAAAAAAUGGCAAUUGUCCUUUACACAAAGAGUCCGACUGGAAAGAAGCUGGAUAUCAUGACAGGCCAAUCGCAUGCUGUGUUACACUCCAAAUAACACGGUGCUUCCAGUUUUUGAUUGUGUACUGACAUUGAGAGGGACAAGUUAUGUGCCAUUUAUAGAUGACAUUUGGAAUGUCGAGUGGUAUUUUUGCUUUUCGAGUGUUGUAUUAAUUUGUUUGAGUUUUAGAUAACAUGUUAUUUGUGUUAGAUUUAAUGUGUCAAUUUCUGUUACAGAUUAUAAGCUUAGAUGGUUCUGCCUUCAAGAAUCUUUUUUAUAUUCAUAAUCAGCAGUUCAUUUUAGUUGCUUGCUGUUUUUUGGUGCUCUCCUCUUCAUCUCUGCUUUUCUCAUUAAUUCAUUUAUUUAGAGUUGUGUCCAGAUUAGGCUUUGAUUUUUGUUCUUCUUUUGUUUUCUCAGGGGAUUCUUUUGGCAGAGGAGUUGAAGGGUUAGAAGCAGUUAGGUGAAGAAAAUGCUUUCUUUCAGUUACUUCUAUUUCAACUUUCUGUGAAAUUCCUUUUUCUUGUGACUGCAAACGCUCUGACCUUCUAAUGCAGAUCUUAUAAGAAAGAAACAAAUUGGAUGAUAUUUAAUCCAAGUUAUAUGAUCUUUAUAUGAUGAAUAAAUUGUUUUAGUAUUUGAACCCAAAGAUUGAGUCUUUGGGUGACUAUGCCUUUGUUUGUGUGUUUAAACUUAUUUAUCUGUUUUGCAUAUCAAUAGCUUCAUUUUGGUUUAUUACCAAGCAUCCAUUUGGUAUGUGAUUUGGCAAUAUAAUGUAAAUUGAGCCACUAUUCCUGUUUUCAUUAGUUGAUAUUAGUUUUGUUCUUUAAACUAUCUAUUCUGUUUUGUUGUGCAUAAUGGAUGAAGUCAAAAAAUUUCAUAUGGGAACAAUUAAGAGAUAAAGCUGUGAAGCAUUUAAGGUAUAUACAUUACUAAUAUGAUUGUCUUUUUAGCGGAGAAAUAAUUAGUAUAGCUCUAUUUUUUCUUUGCUUUUCCUUUUUUUGGGUAAAGAGUUAGUUUAAGUACACAAUUGCUGUUUGAAAUUUGUUAAUGUUUUUGUGUGAUAUCUGUUUUCUCUUUGUAUAAAAAGCCUUAAAGGCUAAUAAUAUUUCCAUUUUCCCAAUUGAACGCCCAUAUUAGUCCCUUUUCCUAUAAUAGGAACAUUUGGUUGCAAUUUUUUUCUUUCCUGUUCUGUAUUCAGUUUAAGUUUCAU